CCUACGGGUGACAGCAGUGGGGAAUAUUGGGCAAUGGGCGCAAGCCUGACCCAGCAACGCCGCGUGAAGGAAGAAGGCUUUCGGGUUGUAAACUUCUUUUCUCAGGGACGAAGCAAGUGACGGUACCUGAGGAAUAAGCCACGGCUAACUACGUGCCAGCAGCCGCGGUAAUACGUAGGUGGCAAGCGUUAUCCGGAUUUACUGGGUGUAAAGGGCGUGUAGGCGGGACUGCAAGUCAGAUGUGAAAACCACGGGCUCAACCUGUGGCCUGCAUUUGAAACUGUAGUUCUUGAGGACUGGAGAGGCAGAGGGAAUUCCGAGUGUAGCGGUGAAAUGGGUAGAUAUUAGGAGGAAAACCAGGGGGGAAGGCGGUCUGCUGGACAGCAACUGACGCUGAGGCGCGAAAGCGUGGGGAGAAAACAGGAUUAGAUACCCUUGUAGGC
rnacentral:rRNA from 1 species